CGAUCUCGGAUCAGACGUGAUUACCCAUUGAACUUAAGCAUAUCACUAAGCGGAGGAAAAGAAACUAACAAGGAUUUCCCUAGUAACUGCGAGUGAACAGGGAUUAGCCGAACACCGAAGCCUGCGGUUAUUUGGUCGUGAGGCAAUGUAGUGUUUAGGGUGGCUUCAGGCAUUAUUGCUCUGUCCCAAGUCCAGCAAUGAGUACGUCUUCCCAUUCCGGCCCAAAGAGGGUGAAAGGCCAGAGAACAAAUGUGACAGUUCUGCUUUGAGCUACCCUUGGAGUUGGGUUGUUUGUGAAUGCAGCCCAAAGUGGGUGGUAAACUCCAUCCAAGGCUAAAUACUUACACGAGUCCGAUAGCAAACAAGUAUUGUGAGGGAAAAUUUAAAAGUACUUUGAAGAGAGAGUAAACAGUGCGUGAAACCGUUCAAAGGU
rnacentral:ncRNA from 1 species